AUUCUUUUAUGCCUGAGUUCAGUGAUGAACUCUAAAAUGUGUCUUUUUCCUCAAGCUUCGUUUGGAGGCACUUCACCAAAUCCUUGUUCUGUUGUCCGGAAUGGAGGAAAAAGGUAGCCUGUCGCUGGCAGGAAGCAGAUUGAGUUCAGGCUUUCAGUCCUCCACAUUGCUCACAUCUGUGAGACUGCAGUUCCUUGCAGGGUGUUUUGGUUUAGGCACUGUUGGACACACUGUUGGAGCCAAAGGAGAGAGUGGCCGCUUACAUCACUAUCAGGAUGGAAUCAGAGCAGCCAAGAGAAGUAUUCAGAUUGAAAUCCAAGUGGCUGUGCACAAGAUUUACCAACAGUUGUCUGCUACUCUGGAACGAGCUCUGCAAGCAAAUAAACAUCACAUUGGUGAGUCAUUAUCCUUGCAAAUGCAGGAUACAGGGUGCAUUUUGCCUAAGA
rnacentral:lncRNA from 1 species